rnacentral:lncRNA from 1 species
UUUUUUUUCCAGAUAAAAGUAGGAUAAAAUACCACUCUAAGAGGACUAAGAAAAGCCAAUGAAAAUAAGUUGAUUCCUCAUAAUUUUCCUCUGGCCUUGAUCCUCAGGAAUCCCAGAGUAUUUAAAGAUGACUUUCUUCCCUUCGAGAAUGACUUCAAGUGCUUUGUUUUUGCCAUUUGCUGCUUGGAAUACGGUUUCCUCAUCUUAUCCCAAAGGGUGAGAAUCUAAGUUUCAAGUUUCCUUGAUUGCUACCUCUGUCAUAAAGCCUUUCAUAAGGUCCUCCAACUGCAUGUGAUUUUCAGUUCUUCUGAACUACCAGAAAAUUGUUUUGCUCAUCUCUUGGAACUCUUGAUAUGCUCAAAUAGUACUUACCUCUUUCUCUGUCUUACACUCUUACUCAAGCACCAGUGAAGGUAUAGUUUCGCAUUUAGCACGAAAAUUUACCACUAUUAGAGCUCACAAUGGCUAGUAAAUGAGUUGAUUUGAAUGUAAUUCAACACUGGCCAACACUGCUGCAGUAAAGACAAAGAGGAUGCCAUUCAUGCCAUUCAUGCUUACUAGCAUAAUCUUUAGUAAACUUUAAUCUUUUUUUUAAAUAACUCACUUUAGAUAUUUAAUAAAUAUACAUAAAUUUAAUAUCCA